CUCCAGUGAGUGUCUCUAAGGUAGAUCCUAAUGCAGAUGGAUGGAAUGUUGAUCCGCCUAACAUGCAAGAUUUUCUGUACCGAGAACUUUGGAUGACCAUCAAGACAAGCACUCGUUUUGAGUCCUGAAACCCUGGGGUGACCACCGUGAACAAAUACAGACUGCAAAAAGGCAGUCUUGACGGUACUAGGAUGAAUGCAAAUAAAGACUAACCACC